rnacentral:rRNA from 1 species
UAGCCGUAAACGAUACUCGCUAGGUGUCGGCCACGGUGCGACCGUUGUCGGUGCCGUAGGGAAGCCGUGAAGCGAGCCACCUGGGAAGUACGGCCGCAAGGCUGAAACUUAAAGGAAUUGGCGGGGGAGCACCACAACGGGUGGAGCGUGCGGUUCAAUUGGAUUCAACGCCGGACAACUCACCAGGAGCGACGGUUACAUGAAGGCCAGGCUGAUGACCUUGCCUGAAUCGCUGAGAGGUGGUGCAUGGCGUAGACGUCU